rnacentral:rRNA from 1 species
CACUAGAUAGGUACUGGUCCUACUUCGAACCUACUUUGAUUCGUCUCCAGGCUUGGCUGACUACAACUUCUUAGUCGCCUACUCAACACCAAUCCCCACUUUACGGUGAGCUUGGGUCUCGAUCGACCAAGAGGGGCUUUACGCAACUCCGCGUCGUCAACUGACCUGUAGAUCCCCAUUUCGUGACAAAGCCACGCCCGACGCGCUCGCCAUGGUUUAGCUCCGUUUGAAACUUAUGAUCUAUACUGGGUUUUUAUUGUCCCCAGUUCCAGCCGGUCACUCUGCUACCCCCUAUUCGAAGUAGCAGCUCUCCCUUUGUCGGGCCUAGUGGUCGAUUCCGGGGAUUUACUGGCGAGUCACUAUUUCCUCCACCCCCACGUUUCUGUCGGUCCUCCAAACGGAUCUUCAUCGGUGGGAAAUUUCUCACGCAUUAUCGAGUGACUAGCUCGCGGGAACGCGACUUCUACUUGCCCCGAUUCGCUAGACGGCUUCGACACCCUACAGUUUUACGUAGCCAUCCCCUCGCAAGGCGGAAUCUCCCUUCGUUGGCGCUUUCGCCCCCAGCUGCUUCGCCUUCGCUCUUACAGCCGAACUCAUUGCUUUUGUAACCACUCUUAGGUUACGGGGCUUUUGGGUUCCAAAGGAGGCGUUCCAAGCAGGUGCCUCCCACUCAGUCCCGGAUUCUAGUCCGGCUUUCCGCAUCAACUACCUGUUGUCCAGUUAUAAGGAUAUGAUGGGGAACAACCAUGCCUCCCUGCCUCCUCCGAUCCAAUCGGCUUUCUACCAAUAUCCAAAUUCCUGUGUUCCACUGGGACGAAAAAGUCCCAUUCUUCCCCAUCUCUUUUACGGAGCUCGGCUCCAGGCUCAUGGUUCGCGACGUCGCGACUUCAUACUCGGG